rnacentral:tRNA from 1 species
GUUCCUGUAGUUAAAUUUCAAUAACGGCGGCUUUCAGGUCGCAAGUCCUGGGUAAAAGCCGGGCGGGAAUU